rnacentral:lncRNA from 1 species
GACAUUGGAGUAUUAGCAUAAAACAAUUACUGUUACCCAAAUAUUAUAGAAUUGCAACUUCUAAGUCAGUUAAGAUAGCCUAAGUCACAAGUACUACUUAAUGAUUUCGGUCUGGAAACACUCAGUUUGCAUCAAUUUUGUUUAUAUAAGAUUAAUUCGAAACAAAAACCUUUAUGUUUUUCUAAUUAACCAAGUUGACACCCGUCGUUACGUCACCGAAUAUACUGGAAAUGACUCUUCUUGACCACGUUCGUGAUAACCAGGAAUGAAUCUUAGGUGUUUCAAGUUCGUUCAAUGUUCACCAUACCUAGCCAACCAUCUGCCAUGUAACACUUCUGUGGUGAUGAGUUGCUUACGUAAACCCCGUCACUAACGAAGAGCUUUGAGAUCGUUUUCUAGAGGAUUGAAACAUGCCCGAAAAUCAUUCAACCCAGGUUUAACCGAUUAGAAACUGAGUUAACACUAUAUUGCAAACAGAGAUUCUCAGCGGAAUUUUUAUGUAUCAAGUGAAGGACCCAAGUGAAUGCUUGUCAAAGAGCUUCCAGUGUUUCACGUCAUCGAAAUUGCUUUACUUUUCGGACGAGAUCACUCACUAUUUUGGAGAUUCGAUCUUGGGGAGGACCCAUAUGAACUUUCCUCGAUUCGUCUACAACAAUCAACAUUGUCUUUGUAUCGGUCUUGAUCAAAGGGCCAUUAGCAUAUCAACAUCGAUGUAUCGUCAAGGGCAGCAAUCACACUUUCAUAAGUUUGCCUCGCCAGUAGCUUGUGGACAGGAUUCCGAUGAAGAUCUUUACAACGAGGAUUAGUUGUAGUCAGAAUCGCAAUGACUAUUUCAGCCACCAAACUUUACGUCUCCUUCAUCACAAGGCUGCAAGCUUGCUGCACAACAGCAGAAUAUUGAGCUUAUUUUCUGAAUGCACUGUACGAAGACACCUCUAAAUUUCUCUAUUGCAAACGCUGCAAAAGAUAAAACAAAGGUGCACCAAAAACCAUCAAAAUACAUCUUGCAAACAACCAAUUUAAAGAUGCACGCUAAAUUGAUUGAAAUUCUACAAAAUGAAAGAUUACAGCCGAUCAUUAAAUUUUUCAUUUAACUUAAAGCUUUCAAGCUAUUGAAAUGUAAUGUGGUUAACAAGAGAUAUAACUCAAUUCAAUUUCUUUUUAUUUAUACAUCUAUAAAAUACAUCGGAAGUGCUCAUCUUGUUUACCUUGGGAAUUCUUAGUGGUUGAAUAUCCUGAUUGUUGUUGAAGAUCUAGUUGCUGCCCUAUUACGUUUCCUAUCACGCCUUUAUUCCCAUACAAUUGAACUCCAUGGAAGAUUUUGGGGAUUUUCAAGUUAAUAACUAUGUUAUGUCCUAUGAUUCUUGUACAAAUUACUAAAAUAGUUG